GGGUGACAAAGAGAUGUGGCUGUAGCCCAGGAAUAGUUAAGGAGGCAGACUAUUUUGCCAGGAUAUCUUGGCCUAACAGGGGAACUGACAAGAGGGGAUGAUUC